GACGAACCGAGCGAACGUUGUUCGGAAUCACUGGGCUUAAAGGGCGCGUAGGCGGGCUGUCAAGUCUGGGGUGAAAUCCCGCGGCUCAACCGUGGAACUGCCUCAGAUACUGACGGUCUCGAGGGGGAUAGGGGCGAGCGGAACUAAUGGUGGAGCGGUGAAAUGCGUUGAUAUCAUUAGGAACUCCGGUGGCGAAGGCGGCUCGCUGGAUCUCUUCUGACGCUGAGGCGCGAAAGCUAGGGGGAGCAAACGGG
rnacentral:rRNA from 1 species